GAUGAAGAACGUAGCGAAAUGCGAUACGUAAUGUGAAUUACAGAAUUCAGUGAAUCAUCGAGUCUUUGAACGCACAUUGCGCCCCCUGGUAUUCCGGGGGGCAUGCCUGUCCGAGCGUCAUUGCUGCCCUCAAGCACGGCUUGUGUGUUGGGCCUCCGUCCUCCUCCCGGGGGACGGGCCCGAAAGGCAGCGGCGGCACCGCGUCCGGUCCUCGAGCGUAUGGGGCUUCGUCACCCGCUCUUGUAGGCCCGGUCGGCGCUUGCCGACACAUCAAUCUUUUUUCCAGGUUGACCUCGGAUCAGGUAGGGAUACCCGCUGAACUUAAGCAUAUCAAUAAGCGGAGGA
rnacentral:misc_RNA from 1 species